AGCACUGGGAGCUCAGGGAUCAAUCUGAAGAGGCUUAUUCCUUUGAAAUUCCUUUUGAAAUUCUUGUUGAGUUUAAUUUGAUAACUGGUUUAUUCCCUUGCAAAGUUAAUGAAUGUGAAGGAUGAUCAUGGCUCUCUCUCUGCUAUUGCAAGGCAAGGUUCAGGCAGUGCAUCCCGC